GACGAACGCUGGCGGCGUGCUUAACACAUGCGAGUCGAACGGAAAGGCCCUGCUUUUGUGGGGUGCUCGAGUGGCGAACGGGUGAGUAACACGUGAGUAACCUGCCCUUGACUUUGGGAUAACUUCAGGAAACUGGGGCUAAUACCGGAUAGGAGCUCCUGCUGCAUGGUGGGGGUUGGAAAGUUUCGGCGGUUGGGGAUGGACUCGCGGCUUAUCAGCUUGUUGGUGGGGUAGUGGCUUGCCAAGGCUUUGACGGGUAGCCGGCCUGAGAGGGUGACCGGCCACAUUGGGACUGAGAUACGGCCCAGACUCCUACGGGAGGCAGCAGUGGGGAAUAUUGCACAAUGGGCGGAAGCCUGAUGCAGCAACGCCGCGUGCGGGAUGACGGCCUUCGGGUUGUAAACCGCUUUCGCCUGUGACGAAGCGUGAGUGACGGUAAUGGGUAAAGAAGCACCGGCUAACUACGUG
rnacentral:rRNA from 1 species